UUGACCUCGGAUCAGGAAGGGAUACCCGCUGAACUUAA
rnacentral:rRNA from 1 species